rnacentral:RNase_P_RNA from 1 species
GAAGUUUGCCGGAUGAUCGUAGGGCGUUAGCUCUGAGGAAAGUCCGGACUCCAUAGGACAGCGUAGGAGGUAACACCUCUCCGCCGUGAGGCGAGGAUUAGAGCAACAGAGACGAGCCGGUUAAGUCCGGUUGAAACGGGCAAUCUCUACGCGGAGCAACACCAAAUAGACAGUUAUUGACCCUGUCCGGCGAGACUGUGGGUAGGUGGCUCGAAAUAUAAGGCGACUUAUAUUCUAGAUGAAUGAUCAUCGCGCAAUUUAUUGCGGACAGAAUCCGGCUUACGGCAAACUUUUUCU